rnacentral:lncRNA from 1 species
GAGUUUCUGCCGAAAUUGGUGGUUCUUGCAAGUGAUGGUUUAUUACGAAUCAGAUGGAAUUGGAAAUCUUCCACUAUAGACCUUGAAUGUUUGGAAAGUCGGACAUGAUUUAUGAAUGAGAGUGUCAGUAACUUCCCUUUCUCCUGGUCUGAAUUAAGUGUGGACUGUGAUGUAUAAGAUGAGAAAUAGGUAACAGAAAGGCACUAUAGCUAUAUAGGAGUAGUGGCAAAUUUUCAUAACACCUCUCUGGUUGAACAUCAAAAGAAAUGUUAAUACAUGGUAUGUUGAUUCAGGGAGCAGCAAAUUUAGUUUGAUAAUUCACAUUGCAGCUUUUUGGAUGAAGUCAGACACCGAGACUUUUUAUGCUGGGAAAGUUUUUGUUUAUGAAAUGCUUUUACAAAAAAUAAGCAUGGAAGAACGUGUGUAUUUCUCUUGUAGAAGAAUGUCUGAGUACUUGGUGUAUUUUCCCUUUUAUGUUUUGACCUUAAACAUCAGGAAUCAUGAGCUUCUGAAAU